CCUUCAGUGUCACCCAGUGUCACCCCAUUGUCACCCAUUGACACCCACUGUCACCCAUUGUCCCCUCAGUGUCCCUUCGUUCGUCACCCAAUGUCCCUCAGUGUCACCCAUUGUCCCUUCAGUGUCACCCACUGUCACCCAUUGUCCCCUUAGUGUCACCCGUUGUCACCCACUGUCACCUAAUGUCCCUUAGUGUCACCCAAUGUCCCCCCAUUGUCACCCACUGUCAAACAUUGUCCAUUCAGUGUCCCCUCGGUGUCCUCUGUUGUCACCCAUUGUCACCCCACUGUCACCCAUUGUCCCUUCAGUGUCACCCAGUGUCACCAUUGUCCCCUUAGUGUUGCCCAUUGUCACCCAUCGUCCCUUCAGUGUCACCCAUUGUCCCUUCAGUGUCACCCAUUGUCCCCUUAGUGUCACCCCUUGUCACCCAGUGUCCCUUCAGUGUCACCCACUGUCCCCCCACUGUCACCCCACUGUCACUCAAUGUCACCCACCGUCCCUUCAGUGUCACCCAGUGUCACCUAUUGUCCCUCAGUGUCACCCAUUGUCCCUUCAUUGUCACCCGUUGUCCCCCCGUUGUCACCCACUGUCACCCAGCGUCCCCUCAUUGUCACCCCUUGUCCCUUCAUUGUCACCUGUUGUCACCCAUUGUCACCCCACUGUCACCCCACUGUCACCCAUGGGUGUCCCCUGGGUUGGGAUUUUGGGGUUCCUCGGGGCUCUCUGUCCCCUCUUUGUCACCCGUUGUGUCCCCAAAUGUCCCCAAACGACCCCAAGUGUCCUUAAACGGCCCCAAAUGCCCCCAAAGUAGCCCCAAAUG
rnacentral:lncRNA from 1 species